rnacentral:rRNA from 1 species
UACGAAGGGGGCUAGCGUUGCUCGGAAUCACUGGGCGUAAAGGGUGCGUAGGCGGGUCUUAAGUCAGGGGUGAAAUCCUGGAGCUCAACUCCAGAACUGCCUUUGAUACUGAGGAUCUUGAGUUCGGGAGAGGUGAGUGGAACUGCGAGUGUAGAGGUGAAAUUCGUAGAUAUUCGCAAGAACACCAGUGGCGAAGGCGGCUCACUGGCCCGAUACUGACGCUGAGGUGGCGAAAGCGUGGGGAGCAAACAGG